rnacentral:pre_miRNA from 1 species
AAUAAGUCAAUUUUUCAAUUUUUAGAUAAGAUGUUUGACUUUUCAUCUUAUUUAAAAAAAUAUGAUUAAUAUUUUUAUUGUUAUUACAUGAUAAAACAUGAAUAGCACUUUACGCGUGACUAAUCUUUUUCAAUUUUUUCAUAAUAUUUUCAAAUAAGAUGGAUGAUCAAACGCUCGACACAGAAACCCAUGAAUUCUCUUCUU